CGGGGUGUAGCUCAGUUGGCUAGAGUGCGUCGUUCGGGACGACGAGGUCGUGGGUUCAAGUCCCACCACCCCGACCA
rnacentral:tRNA from 1 species